rnacentral:rRNA from 1 species
AGAGUUUGAUCCUGGCUCAGGACGAACGCUGGCGGCGUGCCUAACACAUGCAAGUCGAACGGGGAAUAGCAAUAUUCCAUCUUAGNNNNNNNNNNNNNNNAUCUUAGCGGCGGACGGGUGAGUAACGCGUGGGCAACCUGCCUAUAACUGGGGGAUAACACAGGGAAACUUGUGCUAAUACCGCAUAACAUCAUGGAAGGACAUCCUUUUAUGAUCAAAGGAGCAAUCCGGUGAUAGAUGGGCCCGCGUCCGAUUAGCUAGUUGGUGAGGUAAUGGCCCACCAAGGCGACGAUCGGUAGCCGACCUGAGAGGGUGAUCGGCCACACUGGAACUGAGACACGGCCCAGACUCCUACGGGAGGCAGCAGUGGGGAAUAUUGCGCAAUGGGGGAAACCCUGACGCAGCAACGCCGCGUGAAGGAUGAAGGUUUUCGGAUCGUAAACUUCUUUGAUGGGGGACGAAACAAAUGACGGUACCCCAAAAACAAGCCACGGCUAACUACGUGCCAGCAGCCGCGGUAAUACGUAGGUGGCAAGCGUUAUCCGGAAUUACUGGGUUUAAAGGGUGCGUAGGCGGAUUGAUAAGUCAGUGGUGAAAGCCUGCAGCUUAACUGCAGAACUGCCAUUGAUACUGCCAGUCUGGAGUAUGGUUGAGGUAGCUGGAAUGUGUCAUGUAGCGGUGAAAUGCUUAGAGAUGACACAGAACACCGACGGCGAAGGCAGGUUACCAACCCAUUACUGACGCUGAGGCACGAAAGCGUGGGGAUCAAACAGGAUUAGAUACCCUGGUAGUCCACGCCGUAAACUAUGAUUACUAGUUGUUGGCGAUACAUUGCCAGUGACUGAGCGAAAGCAUUAAGUAAUCCACCUGGGGAGUACGUUCGCAAGAAUGAAACUCAAAGGAAUUGACGGGGGCCCGCACAAGCGGUGGAGCAUGUGGUUUAAUUCGAAGCAACGCGAAGAACCUUACCAGGUCUUGACAUCCCUCUGACCGGUCCGUAACGGGACCUUCCCUUCGGGGAGCGUGGAGACAGGUGGUGCAUGGUUGUCGUCAGCUCGUGUCGUGAGAUGUUGGGUUAAGUCCCGCAACGAGCGCAACCCUUGUCUUUAGUUGCCAGCACGUAAAGGUGGGCACUCUAGAGAGACUGCCGGUGAUAAACCGGAGGAAGGUGGGGAUGACGUCAAAUCAUCAUGCCCCUUAUGUCCUGGGCUACACACGUGCUACAAUGGCCGGUACAAAGGGCAGCUACCAGGUGACUGGAUGCUAAUCUCCAAAGUCGGUCUCAGUUCGGAUCGAAGUCUGCAACCCGACUUCGUGAAGCUGGAUUCGCUAGUAAUCGCGCAUCAGCCAUGGCGCGGUGAAUACGUUCCCGGGCCUUGUACAAACCGCCCGUCA